rnacentral:rRNA from 1 species
GAUGAACGCUGGCGGCGUGCCUAAUACAUGCAAGUCGAGCGAACAGAUGAGGAGCUUGCUCCUCUGACGUUAGCGGCGGACGGGUGAGUAACACGUGGAUAACCUACCUAUAAGACUGGGAUAACUUCGGGAAACCCGAGCUAAUACCGGAUAAUAUAUUGAACCGCAUGGUUCAAUAGUGAAAGACGGUUUUGCUGUCACUUAUAGAUGGAUCCGCGCCGCAUUAGCUAGUUGGUAAGGUAACGGCUUACCAAGGCAACGAUGCGUAGCCGACCUGAGAGGGUGAUCGGCCACACUGGAACUGAGACACGGUCCAGACUCCUACGGGAGGCAGCAGUAGGGAAUCUUCCGCAAUGGGCGAAAGCCUGACGGAGCAACGCCGCGUGAGUGAUGAAGGUCUUCGGAUCGUAAAACUCUGUUAUUAGGGAAGAACAAAUGUGUAAGUAACUAUGCACGUCUUGACGGUACCUAAUCAGAAAGCCACGGCUAACUACGUG